rnacentral:rRNA from 1 species
UGAAUACGAGAUGCUACGGCGUCGAAGCAGUCUAUGUCAUACUUCCAAGAAAAGCUCGCACUGUCAUAAACAAAUAAUGCCUGUACCAUAACCGACACAGGUGGGUAGGUAGAGUAUACUAAGGGGCGCGAGAUAACUCUCUCUAAGGAACUCGGCAAAAUGACUCCGUAACUUCGGGAGAAGGAGUGCCUUAUUUAUAAGGUUGCAAUAACAAGAUCCAAGCAACUGUUUAUCAAAAACACAGGUCUCCGCUAAGUCGUAAGACGAUGUAUGGGGGCUGACGCCUGCCCAGUGCCAGAAGGUUAAAGAAGUUGGUUAGCAUUCGCGAAGCUGAUAACUGAAGCCCUGGUGAACGGCGGCCGUAACUAUAACGGUCCUAAGGUAGCGAAAUUCCUUGUCGGGUAAGUUCCGACCCGCACGAAAGGCGUAAUGAUUUGGAUACUGUCUCGGAGAGGGGCUCGGUGAAAUAGACUUGUCUGUGAAGAUGCGGGCUACCUGCACCAGGACAGAAAGACCCUAUGAAGCUUUACUGUAACUUGAGAUUGAAAUUGGACUUUACUUGCGCAGUAUAGGUGGGAGGCGUUGAUAAUAUUCUUGCGGGAUUAUUUGAGCCAUCAGUGAGAUACCACUCUUGUAAUGUUAGAUUUCUAACUUUGUAUCAUUAUCUGGUCAAAGGACAGUUUCAGGCGGGCAGUUUGACUGGGGCGGUCGCCUCCUAAACGGUAACGGAGGCGCACAAAGGUUUCCUCUGAACGGGUAGAAAUCGUAUCUAGAGUGUAAAGGCAUAAGGAAGCUUGACUGUGAGACCUACAAGUCGAGCAGGGGCGAAAGUCGGUCUUAGUGAUCUGACGGUGCUGAGUGGAAAGGCCGUCACUCAACGGAUAAAAGUUACUCUAAGGAUAACAGGCUGAUCUCCCCCAAGAGUUCACAUCGACGGGGAGGUUUGGCACCUCGAUGUCGGCUCAUCGCAUCCUGGGGCGGUAGUACGUCCCAAGGGUUGGGCUGUUCGCCCAUGAAAGCGGUACGCGAGCUGGGUUCAGAACGUCGUGAGACAGUUCGGUCCAUAUCCGGUGUAGGCGUUAGAAUAUUGAGAGGAGCUUUCUUUAGUACGAGAGGACCGAGAAGGACAUACCUCUGGUGUACCAGUUAUCGUGCCAACGGUAAACGCUGGGUAGCUAUGUAUGGAGUGGAUAACCGCUGAAAGCAUCUAAGUGGGAAGCCCACCUCAAGAUAAGUAUUCA